rnacentral:pre_miRNA from 1 species
GUGUGUAGAUGGUGUUCAGCACCAAGGAGAGGUGUGUUUACCUAUGUGUGGAUGAUGUUCAGUACCAGGGAUAGGCAUGUUUACCU